UACGUAGGCAGCGAGCGUUGUUCGGAGUUACUGGGCGUAAAGAGUGCGUAGGCGGUUUUCUAAGUUUGGUGUGAAAUCUCCCGGCUUAACUGGGAGGGUGCGCCGAAAACUGGAAGGCUGAGUAUGGGAGAGGUAAGCGGAAUUCCUGGUGUAGCGGUGAAAUGCGUAGACUAUCAGGAGGAACACCUGCGGUGUAGACGGCUUACUGGACCAUAACUGACGCUGAGGCACGAAAGCGUGGGUAGCAAACAGG
rnacentral:rRNA from 1 species